CUGUAAAAAAUGUAUUAUCACUUUAUAUAUAUAUAUAUAUAUAUAUACAUGAAUAAAUAUAUUGGAAUUAUUCCAUAAAAUCAUAUAACAUAUAAAUAAUACAAAAUAAAAUGAGUACCAGUAGAUAGACAAUUUUUUUUAAUUAAAGUAGUACCUGAUUAUACUUUACAAAUUUUAAUUUUGUUAUAUUCACAAAUAAAAUUAAACACAUCCCUUUGUUAACGAGCCGCUAAUGUUAAUAGAACAAGAUGAACGUUUCAAAAUCCACUAUAAAUUUCAAUUUGUCGUUUUUGUUUCAUAAUUGUUUUAUAAUAAAGAUUAUUUGUGCUACUACCUAGAUAAAUUGAAUUUACUACAAUUUAGUUCAAAAAUAAAAUCCCUUUUUAACGAGUCGCCAUUGAUAAACAUCAAAACAUUUCAAUAAGAAUAGAGUGAGAGAGGUAUAGAAAGAUUGACAACAAUUGCAAACUAUGUUUUAGUUUUUUUAUUUGCAUUUCUUUAUUUUUAUUUUUAAAUUAAAAUUCGUUUUUUAUCUGAUUUAAAAAAUUAUAGAUAUUUGAUAUAACCCUAAGUUAAUUACAAGAACAAUGCGUUUUAAAAUGAGUAGACAAAGAGAGGGAAAUCAAACAAAUAUAGAAUAACUUAUGUAUUAAUCUAGUCGGCUGUUAACUGACAGUUAAUUCAGAAGAAGGCGUUGGAUUGUGUCGUGUCUGUCGUGAAUAAUUUUAAAUUUUUAUAAAUUUAGUGUGGAGAAACUAAUAAUUAAAUGUAAACAAAUUGAAAUAAGUGAAAGUUUUUAAUGACUUUUGUGUGUAAAAGUGCAGUGGUAUCUACAAAACACAAUCAUUUAUCCAGGAGUCCAGGUCAUGUAUAACAACAUCGUAACUUCCACUCGUAUAGAGCAACUUAUCGACUGAAAAUAUAUUGAAUGAUUCAAUUGAUAUACGAGGUUCUGUUUGAUAACAUCAUAACCUCAUCUCGUUUUUAGCAACUUUUCGACGAAAAAUUCACCGAUUAAUAAAUUUUUAUUACGGGCAUGUCAAAAAAAUAAAUUUGUAAUUUUUUUUUUGCAUCAGUACUAAAAUUGAGGUUAGAAUGUUAAGUUUCAGGUUGUGUUUGAUGACUUCACAACCUCCCUUCAUUUUAAACUAAUUUUCAACUAUAAAUUUACCAAAUAGUUAAUUCUUAUACGGGGUAUGGUCAAUAAAAUAAAAGUUAUUCGUCAGAUACAAAAAUUGAGGUUAGAACGUUUGUUUUAGGUUCUGUUUGAUAACAUCAUAACCUCAUCUCGUUUUUAGCAACUUUUCGACGAAAAAUUCACCGAAUAAUAAAUUUUUAUUACGGGCAUGGUCAAAAAAAUAAAUUUGUAAUUUUUUUUUGCAUCAGUACUAAAAUUGAGGUUAGAAUGUUUAGUUUCCGGUUGUGUUUGAUGACAUCGUAACCUCCCUUCAUUUUGAACUACUUUUCAACUAUAAAUUUACCAAAUAGUUAAUUUUUAUACGGGGUAUGGUCAAUAAAAUAAAAGUUAUUUGUCAGACACAAAAGUUGAGGUUAGUAUGUUUGUUUCACGUUGUGAUUAAUGGCAUCAUAACCUCCCCUCGUUUUUAACUACUUUUCGACGAAACAUUUACCGAAUAAAUAAUUCUUUUAAACGGGGUAGGGUUUAUAAAAAUUUGUAAUUAAGUUUGAUUGCAUCAGUUUUUAGUUCGACGUAAAAGUUGAGGUUAGAAUGUUUCAGGUUAUGUCACAUUGCCUCUAACACUAACUUCAACUAAAAAUAUACUGAAUGAUGUAAUUAUUGUACAGGGUAUGGUCAAUAAAUUGUAAUGACGAUAAAAUAAAUUUUUUUAUGCA